rnacentral:rRNA from 1 species
AUUGAACGCUGGCGGCAUGCCUUACACAUGCAAGUCGAACGGCAGCGGGGGAGAAGCUUGCUUUUCCUGCCGGCGAGUGGCGAACGGGUGAGUAAUACAUCGGAACGUGCCCCGUAGUGGGGGAUAACUAGUCGAAAGAUUAGCUAAUACCGCAUACGACCUGAGGGUGAAAGUGGGGGACCGCAAGGCCUCAUGCUAUAGUAGCGGCCGAUGUCUGAUUAGCUAGUUGGUGGGGUAAAGGCCUACCAAGGCGACGAUCAGUAGCUGGUCUGAGAGGACGAGCAGCCACACUGGGACUGAGACACGGCCCAGACUCCUACGGGAGGCAGCAGUGGGGAAUUUUGGACAAUGGGCGAAAGCCUGAUCCAGCAAUGCCGCGUGUGUGAAGAAGGCCUUCGGGUUGUAAAGCACUUUUGUCCGGAAAGAAAUGGCUCUGGUUACUACCUGGGGUCGAUGACGGUACCGGAAGAAUAAGGACCGGCUAACUACGUGCCAGCAGCCGCCGUAA